AUUGAACGCUGGCGGCAGGCCUAACACAUGCAAGUCGAACGGAAGAAGGGUGCUUGCUUGUGGAUUCAGCGGCGGAAGGGUGAGUAAUGCAUAGGAAUAUCCCUGGUUGUGGGUGAUAACGUCCGGAAACGGGCGCUAAUACCGCAUAAGUGCAGAGGGCGAAGGUGGGGGAGCUUCGGACCUUACGCUCUCAGGUGAAUGUAGGUCGGAUUUGCUAGUUGGUGGGGUAAAGGCCUACCAAGGCGGCGAUCCGUAGCUGGACUGAGAGGAUGAUCAGUCACACUGGAACUGAGACACGGUCCAGACUCCUACGGGAGGCAGCAGUGGGGAAUAUUGGACAAUGGGCGAAAGUCUGAUACAGCCAUGCCGCGUGUGUGAAGAAGGUCUUCGGAUUGUAAAGCCCUUUAAGUGGGGAUGAACGGCAGUAAGUUAAUACCUUGCUGUUUUGACGUUACCAACAGAAUAAGCACCGGCUAACUUCGUG
rnacentral:rRNA from 1 species